GGGCGGGUCCCGCUGCUGCCGCCGGGUGUCGCUGUGGCUCCUCCCCCCCGCGGCCCUUCCGCCCGCCUUCCGCCGUGGGGCCCUCGUCCCUUCCUUUCUCUCCCUCUCCCCCGUCUUCCUCCCCAUUUCCUCUCCCGCUUGCCCUGGUCUCCAGUGCGUUCCCCUCCGUGCGGUCCCCGUAUCUCCUGUCUGUGCUUCCGUGUGUUCCUCUGCGUGCGCUGUCCCCUCCGGUGCCCCGAGCUGAGGAGUCCCGGCCCCUUCUUGGGUGUCCCGGUCCUUUCUGUGCGCGUGCUCUCCUGCCCCGCACACCUUCGGGUGUGCUUUGCGCCCACCUGGUUCCUCCCGUGCUUGCUCUGGCCCCACUGUUCUCAUGCGGGGUCGGGCCUUUGGAGCCCCAGCCUGCUGGGGUUCCCUCUAUGGGUGGUCUGUCGCCCUUUCUCAUCUGUCCCAUCCGCUCGAGUUGAUUUGGGCAGGAGCUGUUCCUCACCUUGCCUGUUCUUAGGUGCUGUGCUCCACUCCUGUUGGCUCUGCACUGCUGGCCUCCAUCCCCCUGGGCUCUCUUACCCACUUCAUUCCCAUCUGUUAGAGCUUGGUUCACAUUCCUCCUCUCCAUUCCCCUCCCUCUUCCCCUCUGUGUUCACUCUGAUCGGCUCUGUCUUGUCUCCCUGGCUUGUUCAUGCUGGUCUCCUCUGUUCACCACUAUGUUGCCUCCGUUCCCAUCCAUCCCUCUCUGUGUGGGAAGGGAGCGGGGUGCACAUGGAGAGGCAGGGAGGUGACUGGAGCACACAAGUGGAAUGGCACACAGAUGAGGGAGAAUGUAGUGGCUCAGUGUGCGUAACCGGGAAUGGGGGAGCCGCAGCUCAUGGGGGAAAAUGGAGGGGAUCAGAGAGCACAAAAAUGGGCACAGAAGGAACAAGUUCACACCUAAGAGCAUGCCUGGCGAUGGGGGGGCAGUAGAUCAGAGCGCACAGGAAGGUCCCCCUUCCUUCUCCAGCUCUAGCGUCCCCCAUUGGGUCCUCUGUGGUAUGUCUGGGUGUGGGGGUAUGUGGGGUGUCCCUGAGGCAGUGCAGAUGUUUUGGUGUGGACAAUGUGAUGCCACGGAGCCUGUCCAUGUGCCCAGAUUCCUGGAGGUGUGGGAUGGGAGGUGUGGGACCCAACGGGGUGCCUGGCAGGAAACAGUCUGCCCUCCCACGCAGCGUGUUCCAGGAGCCACCCGCGUCUCCCUCUUCAAACAGAGGCAGGAGCAAGCAGCAUUAGCAGAACAGCAGGCUGUGCUGGAGAAAAGCGCCCGGCCUCGGGAAAAGGUACAGGAUGCCUUCGACAGCCCUCUGAAAAAGGGGCAUUUCCCACCUCCAGGGUGGCAGAGCCUUGCAGGCAGCCAGGGCCCAGGCAGACUGCUGCCUCUGAGGAGCAGCGCCCAAGCUGGCCCACUCCUUCCUAGGAAGGACAUGGCUGCAGCCAGAAGCCGGGCCCAGAAGGAGCCAGGGGCCACAGUGAGGGCAGCUGGGGGGGUUGCAACCUCUGCCUGCGGUGCCUGCCCUCGACCUGGAAACCAGCUCUCCGGGGCAGCUGGCUUGAACCACUUGUACCCAGAUGGGCUGGGCACAGAGCUCCAGGGGCCCAGCUACUGUAGCCCAUUGUAUCAGCUCCUUUCAUAG
rnacentral:lncRNA from 1 species